AAGAAUUCCAAAAGCCUAAUCAUAUGGUCUGGCUAAAUGAGCAUUAAGUAAUGCACCAUUAAAAGCCCUCAUGUUAUAAUCGAGCUACUUUUGGUUCUCAUGCUGAAGAACCAUUAAUUUAUUUUUAACCGAUGGUAUGUUAUCUGUGUCCAAAAUCUGUCAUAUUUGGCGUUGGACCCUUUAAAUCAGGAUGCUUUUAUGAUGGAAUUUAUGGACCCUUUCUAUGAAGUAAGCUUUCAUUGUGUAAAUUACGGACCUUUUUAGUCGUAAGGCUUUCCAAGGUAACUAUGGACCCUUUUCGUUGGAUGUUGUACGGCUUAACUAUGGACCUUACUAUUGGUAUGCUUUUCGAUGUAACUAUGGGCCAAAUUUGUCGGUUUCAGUCGGUAUGCUUUAAGAUGAAAUUACGGAGCCUUUCAGUUGUUAUGCUUUCCAAGGUAACUAUAGACCCUUUUUGUUGGAUGCUGUAUGGCUUAACUAUGGACCUUACUAUUGGUAUGCUUUUUGAUGUAACUGUGGGCCCAAUUUGUCGGUUUCCAGUCGGUAUGCUUUAAGAUGAAAUUACGGACCCUUUCAGUUGUUAUGCUUUCAAUGGUAACUAUGGACCCUUUUCGUUGGAUGUUUUACGGCUGAACUAUGUACCUUUCCUAUUGGUAUGCUUUUUGAUGUAACUAUGGGCCCAAUUUGUCGGUAUGCUUUCCAAUGUAAGUAUGGGCCCUUUCUGUUAGUAGGCUUCUUGAUGCAACUAUUGUAUGUACCCUUUCUGUUGGUAUUAUAUUUGAUGUAACUAUGAACUCUUCUUGUCGGUAUGCUUUAUGAUCUAAUUAUGAACCUUUCCGGUCGGUAUGCUUUAAGAUGAAAUUAUGGACCUUUCCGGGCGGUUUGCUUCUCCAUGUAACUAUGGGCCUUUCUUAUGGGUAUGCUUACGUUGUACAAUGGACCCUUCCCUAUCAGUAUGCGUUAUGCGUUACAAUCUAACUGACCAUUCUUGUCGGUAUGCUUCUCGAUGUAAAUAAUGAACCCUUCCUGUCGGUAUGCUUAUCGAUGUAAUCAUGGACCUUUCCUGUCGGUAUGCUUUAGGAUUUAAUUUAGUUUAACUAUGGAACCUUGUUGUCGAUAUGCUUUACGAUGCAACUAUGGAGCCUUCCUGUCGGUAAGCUUUUCGAUGUAAUUAUGCAUCCCUCAUGUCGGGAUGCUUUAUGCCUUUUGAAAUUGUGCCAAUGAUGUAGCAUAUCCUUGAUGAAACUACAAAGAUAAUGCCUUUUAGAAAAAUUGAGUCGCCACAUCCGAGACUCUCUCCUGUUAAGUAUUAGCUUCCUAGAUAAUCUUUCCAUUCUUGCAUAAUAUUUUGUUAGAAAGUCGGUUUGCAAAGUCUAUAUGGUAUGGCCAUACAAUACAAUUUAUGAAUUUCCUAUAUGAAGUAUUCGAAGACAGGUUACCUAGAAACUUAUUCUGAUUAAAGAAAUAGUUUUAUAUAUGUACAUUAUUAUAAAAUUCCCAAAAGCCCUAAUCAUAUGGUCCUGCUAGAUGAGCAUUAAGUAAUGCACCAUUAAAAGCCCUCUUUCUACAGUCGAGCUGUUUUUGGUUCCUUAUCCGUAGAUAGUUUAUGGGGUCUGAGAUUUAAUGUUUUAUAGAUACUGAACAAAACCCCUUUAGCCCUCUUUUGGUUAGCCAUCUGUUUGUGGAUUUAAAAAAAAAAGGUAUUUUAUUGGCCCUUUUUAGCAGUCCGUAUAUGCUUUGAUGUAAAAUAAUUGACCCUAUGACUCUAUUUCCUUGAUGGUGUUUACACCAUGAGCUAGUUAUCACGUUCAUGAACUUGUAUUUUAGUUUGAACCGAUGGUAUGCUAUCUAACUCUGUUAUAUAUGGUGUUGGGCCCUUUUCUCAGUAUGUUGUCCAUUACUCCACUAUAGUCUAUGAACCCUUUAGAUCAGUAAGCUUCUUGAUGGAAUGUAUGGUCCCUCAAUCGCUCACACGUAUAUGGACCCUUUCAAUUGGUGUGCUUUAAUUAAGUAAUUAUGGAUCCUUUCUGUUAUAUGCUUUUCGAUGUAACCCUUUAGAUCAGUAAGCUUCUUGAUGCAAUGUAUGGUCCCUCAUGGGUCCUUGUCGUAUACUUUACUAUGUAACUAUAGACCCUUUCUAUCGGUAUGUUUCUCCAUGUAAUUAUGGACCCUUCCUGUCGGUAUCCGUUACGAUGUAACUAUGAACCCUUCCUUUAUGAUGUAACUAUUGACCCUUAGUGUCGGUAUGCUUCUCGAUGUAACUAUGGACCCUUAUGAUCGGUAUGCUUUAUGAUGUAAUUAUGGACCUUUCCUAUCGGUAUGCUUUUUGAAAAGACACCAAUGAUGUAGCGUAUCCUUUCAUGAUACUACAAACAUAAUGUCUAAGAAAAAUUGAGUCACCACAGCUGAAUCUCUUUCCUAUUUAUAUUUAUUUUUUUGAACAACCACAUAAUUUCUUUCCCUCUCUUUCCUAUUAAGUGAUUAGCUUCGUAGAUAAUCUCUCUAUUUUCACAGAAUUUUGUUAGAAAGUUGGCUUGUAAAGUUUUGCCACACAAUGCAAUGUAUGAAUUUCUUAUGUGAUCUCUUUCAAAGUACUCGUAGACAAGUUACUUAGAGAAACUUAACCUGAUGGAAGAAGUAGUCUUAUAUGUGUUUAUUAUUAUAGGAAUCCCAAAACCCCUAAUCAUAUGGUUUGGCUAGAAGAGCAUUAAGUAAUGCACCAUUGUCUGAUAUUUGAUGUCCCGGGGAAACUAAAAAAAACCCUUUAGCCCUGCUUUUGUUGAGCCAUCUGUUUGUGGAUUCCUAUUUUCCUUUUUUAAUGAUUUAUAGGUCCUGUUUUAGCAGUCCGUAUAUGCUUUGAUGUAAAAUAAUCAACCCUUUUUUGUUGAUGGUGUUUACGUGUGAGCUGGUUAUCCUGAUGAACUAUUACUUUAAUUUCAACCGAUGGUAUGUUGUGCUCAAUAUCUGUGGCGUUGGACCCUUUUAUUAGUAUGUUGUCCACUAUAGUCUACGGACCACUAAAAUCGGUAUGCUUUUUGAUAGACAUUAUGGACUCUUGGUGAUUUACCAUAUACAUGUGAAACCAAUGUAUGUUAGAUGGUGCCAAAGUUUUCUUAUCUUACCAUAUUUUGUCAAACUAAUGAUAUGUCAGUCGUGUCAAAGCUCUGUUGCUGAGAAGUUGGCAUGGAAUUGCGUUACGAGAUGAUUAUGGUCUGCCUUCACAUUAUCCAAACAUAUUCUUAACCUUUUGGAUGUUAUAAUAUCUGGAUAAUGGACAAUGUUGUGUCAAAUUAUUCAUGACAAGUAUUUUUGGCUGAGUAAUGACAUGAUAAUGUCAAAGCUCUGUUGCUGAGAAAUUGGCAUGGAAUUGCGUUAUGAGAUCAUGAUGGUCUGCCUUCACAUUAUCUAAGCAUAUUCUUAACCUUUUGGAUGUUAUAAUAUCUGGAUAAUGGACAAUGUUGUGUCAAAUUAUUCAUGACAAGUAUUGAACACAUCAAUGUGGCAAUUAAUCUUAUUUUUAGCUCAAAUAGCAUAGUAUUUUCAUACCAGUACAUGCUUAAUGGAAGUUAUUGUGUCUUAAAGUAAGGAAAGGAAAGAUCUUAUUAUCUUUUGCACCUUGAGAGAUACAUCACAAUAUGGUUUAAAUCUUAAUCAUGGUUACAAGUGAAAUCUUCAAUGAUUGUCCAACAAAGACAGGCUUAAUUGAAGUAUGGACACUUGCAUAGCCAAUCUGCAAUAUAUUGAUGAUUCCAUUGCAUUGACAUGCUUUCAGGACUUUGUAUUGUAUAAGGCUGAGGCAGAGGAUAGCAUGGAUGGAAUCGUAGGUUUAAAUGCGAAUGAUGUUGACUCACCACUCAACAGACUUUGUAGGUGACUGUGCAUAGGGAGACGCAUUGGCAGCGAAUUUCUGACCCUUAAGCUUGCAGUGAUCUUCUUUAGUGCAAAUGAAAUAAUGGGGGCCGGGUUUAACCAAUGAUAUUCUAUCUGGGCCACUGGGGAUUAAUCUGAUGGGGUUUUCUUUAAUGCAUGGUCCGUAUGCCUCCUUAGUAACUUCUGCAACGGUAUGUCCUUUGGUGAAGUUAAACCAAAGAACAUCAGUUACUUUGAAUUUAAUGUUUGCUGCCCACAAGGUGUAAAAUGCGGGGUUUGGAGGUAUUGUCCAUCCGACAGCAUCCCCAACUGUAUACACGGUGCCAGCUGCUAGCGUGUUGUGAAACUGCAAAAACGCCACCAUGACGAUGGUUAUAACCACCAUCAGAUACAAACUGUGACCUGUCAUGAUUAACGAUCACUUGAAUUUUAAUGAUUGUGGUAUUGUUUUGGUGUUUUUAAUUUGGGUUUGUCAAUAUAUAUAUAGGGGAAUACAAUAUAGUUUUGUAUUGAUUUGGAGUUUGGAUUCAUUCACACAGUCACACAUACACUAUGUUGUAACUCGUUGUUCGUAUACACGGGACAUGAAACUCAAAUGAUCAUUCAGUUGUUUUCCAAAUAUACAGGAGGAUUUCUUAAGAUA